rnacentral:rRNA from 1 species
GAUGCAACGCGAAGAACCUUACCUGGGUUUGACAUAUGCCGGAAAGCUCCAGAGAUGGAGCCCCUUUUAGUCGGUAUACAGGUGGUGCAUGGCUGUCGUCAGCUCGUGUUGUGAAAUGUUGGGUUAAGUCCCGUAACGAGCGCAACCCCUAUCCUUAUUUGCCAGCGAGUAAUGUCGGGAACUCUAAGGAGACUGCCGGUGACAAACCGGAGGAAGGUGAGGAUGACGUCAAGUCAGCAUGCCCCUUAUGUCCUGGGCCACACACGUGCUACAAUGGCGGAGACAAAGAGUCGCAAACCUGCGAAGGCUAGCUAAUCUCAUAAACUUCGUCUAAGUUCGGAUUGUAGGCUGCAACUCGCCUACAUGAAGUUGGAAUCGCUAGUAAUCGCUGGUCAGCUAUACAGCGGUGAAUUCGUUCCCGGGCCUUGUACACACCG